rnacentral:rRNA from 1 species
ACUCAAAUGAAUUGACGGGGGCCCGCACAAGCGGUGGAUCAUGUGGUUUAAUUCGAAGCAACGCGAAGAACCUUACCUGGAUUUGACAUCCGUUGACAUCCGUAGAGAUACGGCUUUUGGAGAAAUCCAACAACGAGACAGGUGCUGCAUGGCUGUCGUCAGCUCGUGUGGUGACAUGUUGGGUUAAGUCCCGCAACGAGCGCAACCCUUGUCCUUAGUUGCCAGCAUUCAGUUGGGCUCUCUAAGGAGACUGCCGUGGUUAACACGGAGGAAGGUGGGGAUGACGUCAAGUCCUCAUGGCCUUUAUAUCCAGGGCGACACACGUGAUACAAUGGUUGGUACAAACGGAUGCCAAGUCGCAAGACGGAGCUAAUCUGAAAAAACCAAUCUCAGUUCGGAUUGGAGUCUGCAACCCGACUCCAUGAAGUUGGAAUCGCUAGUAAUCGCGGAUCAGCACGCCGCGGUGAAUACGUUCCCGGGCCUUGUACACACCGCCCGU